GAUGAACGCUGGCGGCGUGCCUAAUACAUGCAAGUCGAGCGAACAGACGAGGAGCUUGCUCCUCUGACGUUAGCGGCGGACGGGUGAGUAACACGUGGAUAACCUACCUAUAAGACUGGGAUUACUUCGGGAAACCGGAGCUAAUACCGGAUAAUAUAUUCAACCGCAUUGUUCAAUAGUGAAAGACGGUUUUGCUGUCACUUAUAGAUGGAUCCGCGCCGCAUUAGCUAGUUGGUAAGGUAACGGCUUACCAAGGCAACGAUGCGUAGCCGACCUGAGAGGGUGAUCGGCCACACUGGAACUGAGACACGGUCCAGACUCCUACGGGAGGCAGCAGUGGGGAGACUUCCGCAAUGGGCGGAAGCCUGACGGAGCAACGCCGCGUGGGUGAUAAAGGGCUUCGGAUCUUAAAACUCUGUUAUUAGGGAAGAACAAAUGUGUAAGUAACUAUGCACGUCUUGACGGUACCUAAUCAGAAAGCCACGGCUAACUACGUG
rnacentral:rRNA from 1 species